rnacentral:sRNA from 1 species
UAAUUACCCAUGUGGGGAAGGAUGAAGCUUCGAUAAGGUUCGAUUCGAGCGCAGCGGCGUUAACCACCAGGCAACGACCCGAAAGGAGCGAAGCGCGCGGCGCUGAGUAAUCCCUUCCCCACCACCA